CAGAAAAGGAGUUUGCAGCACCGGAGGAGCCGGUUCGGGUCAUUUCAAAGCAGUCUAAAGAUGGUGACGGAUUGUUUUCACCGAGAAAAAGUUGGCACCACCGGAACAGCCGGUUUAAGCCAAUUUAAAGCAUUUUAAAGAUGGUGACGGAUUGUGUUCACCGAGAAAAAGUUUGCACCACCGGAACAGCCGGUUUAAGCCAUNUUAAAGCACUUUAAAGAUGGUGACGGAUUGUGUUCACCGAGAAAAAGUUUGCACCACCGUAACAGCCGGUUUAAGCCAACUUAAAGCAUUUUAAAGAUGGUGAAGGAUUGUGUUCACCGAGAAAAAGUUUGCACCACCGGGACAGCCGGUUUAAGGCAACUUAAAGCAUUUUAAAAGUGAAUAUCGUUCAGAUGGUGACGGAUUGUGUUUUACCGUAGAAAAGUUAACAGCACCGGCAGAUCCGGUUUGGGCCAUCUCAAAGGCAUUUUAA